rnacentral:rRNA from 2 species
ACGCUGUAAACGAUGAUUACUAGGUGUGGGGGGACUGACCCCUUCCGUGCCGCAGUUAACACAAUAAGUAAUCCACCUGGGGAGUACGGCCGCAAGGUUGAAACUCAAAGGAAUUGACGGGGGCCCGCACAAGCAGUGGAGUAUGUGGUUUAAUUCGAAGCAACGCGAAGAACCUUACCAGGUCUUGACAUCGAGUGCAUAACUAAGAGAUUAGUGAAAUUCCUUCGGGAACACUUAGACAGGUGGUGCAUGGUUGUCGUCAGCUCGUGUCGUGAGAUGUUGGGUUAAGUCCCGCAACGAGCGCAACCCUUACCUUUAGUUGCUACGCAAGAGCACUCUAAAGGGACUGCCGUUGACAAAACGGAGGAAGGUGGGGAUGACGUCAAAUCAUCAUGCCCCUUAUGACCUGGGCUACACACGUACUACAAUGGCAAUUAACAAAGAGCAGCAAAGCCGCGAGGUGGAGCGAAUCUCCAAAAAUUGUCCCAGUUCAGAUUGCAGGCUGCAACUCGCCUGCAUGAAGUCGGAAUUGCUAGUAAUCGUAGAUCAGCAUGCUACGGUGAAUACGUUCCCGGGCCUUGUACACACCGCCCGUCACACCAUGGGAGUCGGUAACACCCGAAGUCGGUAGUCUAACAGCAAUGAGGACGCCGCCGAAGGUGGGAUUGAUGACUGGGGUG